GCCUGUGUAGCUUAACACAAAGCAAAGCACUGAAGAUGCUUAGAUAAAUUUCUAAUUUCACGGGCA
rnacentral:tRNA from 1 species